CUUUGUAGCUUUCUGCAUCUUUAGUCAGAGUACGCUGUUUACCUGGUUGGCUGCCUCUCUUAUUUGGUCCCUUGGUGGCAGGGGCUAAUGGCUCUAUAUAAGACAUGUGCAUUCAUCUACCAACGACAUCUGUGCAGAGCAUGGAACAGCGUAGGUUUGUAAUUGCUCGCUACCCUGAGCUAGGGAAAAUGAACUUCUGACAUUUUGGAGGAAACAGACUUUGCUUCUUUGGUAAGGAACUGCAUACACAGUGGAGAAGAAGACAGAAAAGGCUGUGGCCUGAUGAAGCUUACAUUCAGACAGACAAGGUUUCACUCUGUUGCCUAGGCUGAAGUACAGUGGCAUGAUCAUGGCUCACUGCAGCUUUGACCUCCUGGGCUCGAGCAAUCCUCCCACUUCAGCCUCCGGAGUAGCUAGGACCACAGAAGAGGAAACCGAGACAAAGUGAAGUUACUUCCCCCAAAUCACCUAACAGGGAUUCUGGCAGUAGGGAAGAAGAGAAGCUGCAGCUACAUGGAAAUGGAAGCCUCAUGUACAUUCAUGUGUCAUAGGGACUGAGGCAAGCGCCUUUUUUGCUUUCCUGAGCUGUAGUGAGAAAGUAUUUUGAGCUCUGUCAUCUAAAGCAAAGAUAGUAAAUACAUGGCGCAGGAUGAGCCCAGGACAAAUUCCAGUUCUCAAUCACAGUAUGUUUUCCUGCUGAUCCUGGAUCGUGCCUCAGAAUCAUUCUCAGUACUGUGUUCCGGGUAGCUUCCACCAAUAGCUCCAGAUUGACUGCAAGAACAAACCAGCAAUCUCGAGAAGACUCAUAGACCCUCUGAAGGAAGCAGACUGCUCCUGCAGGACUUGGAAGAUACCCCAAAUACUCCUUGGGAGGACUACUCAGAUGAUAGGAACCAGUGGUUGAAAAAGAAAGAGAAACGAGAUGAAAGGAUUCGUGACUUUUCUGGGAAGUAUAAAAAGCUAUUUUGUGCCUCUUCUUUAUUUAGUUGCCAAUAGAUUGUUUUGUUUAUCUAUUUUGUUAUGUGAUAAAAUGCGAUAUGGGAGUAAUUGUUUUUCUUGUGUGUGCAUGCAUGUAUGUAUUUCUAUUUUGAUGAAGUCUUGACCCUGCCGAUUCAGAAUACCUUUAAGUUUUAAAAAGAUUUUAUUUUCUCCUGGCUUCCUCUUGCAUACACAAAGGCAGUAAUAGAGUAUCAUUUAAAUACUCUUGGUUAGAACACAGCGAAGUAGUUAAGAGAAACAUUUUAGAGGUUGACCUAAAAUACAUUAACUUUGAAAUAAAUAUAUAAAGAAUGAAUUUUACCAAAUAUGCAUAUCAGUUUUACCAACAGAUACCAUUUUGGGAAGAUAUGUAUUCUGGUUUUAAAAAUAUUUUAGUUUGAGUUCAGUUGUAUUAUACCUUACAUAAUACUAAUUAGAUGCUGGCUUAGAACUAUGUGUUAGUCAAAAAUUUUGGCUAGGUUCUCAUGAAAUAUCUGAAAGGCUAAAGAACAAUGUAAUUAUGCAUACAUUUAAAAUUUUGAAAGAAACAUCCCAUGUGCUACCUGACAGUGAAAUUGUCCCUGAUGAUAAGGAGAAAGGAUAAGAAGAUGCUGGGGACUGCCCGGUUCAGAGUGGCCAUACUCAGGCCUAAUUCCUUAAAUAUUCAACUGAACUAGAUGAUACUCUAUGAUCUAUAAGCUCUCUGUGCCUUGGUUUCUAAUAAAACAAAAUGUAGGGAGCAUCAAUCUCAUAAAUAUUUAUUUUCUUUCUUCUUCUUCUUCUUUUUUUUUUUUAUAAACUGAAUGGAGAUUCCUGUGCAGUAGACUAUAUCAUAAAUGCUGGCAUUAGAAGAUUAGAAAAACUGCUGUCUUAUAAACUAUUUUAUAUUGGGUAUUUAUUUAUAGCUAAUGGAUUUCUAAAUAUACGAUUUGACCUGCUACAUUUAAACUAAGUAAUUAAAUACGUGUCAAAUAAUCCAAAUUAAUAUCCAAAGUCAUGACAUUAUCAAAGUUACAGUUUUUUCUUAAUCUGUCGAGAAUUUCAGUGCUAAAUUGACCUUAAUUUUUUUAAAAAAUAAUAUUUAGGUAACUUUCUGAUUACUCAAAAUAGCUCAGAACUGUAACUUAUGCUCCUGUGUGUGUGUGAUUUUUCUGCCUCUGCACUCUAUAACUGUGACUUGUUCAAGGGUGCUAAGAAGAGAGAAGCUGAUGUGGCUGAUGUUGGAAGGUGAUGAAUUCAUCCAUGGUAAAAGAAAUAUCCCUUAAGGCAGGGGUCUCCAGCCCCUGGGCCAUGGACCCACACUGGUCAGAUCAGUGGCAGCAUCAGAUUCUCACAGAAGCAUGAACCCUAUGGUGAACUCCACAUGCAAGGGAUCUAGUUGCAUGCUCCUUAUGAGAACCUAAUGCCUGAUGAUCCGAGGUAGAACAGUUUCAUCCCAAAACCAUUCCCCUGCCUCCGUGGAAAUAUUGUCUUCCACGAAACUGGUCCCUGGUGCCAAAAAGGUUGGAGCCCGCUGCCUUAGGGCAUGUCCUGUUACCAGCUUCCAGUUGCCCUUGAAGUGGUCUUCAUUAUCCUGGCUUUCUCUCCCCAGCCUCCUCUUCCUGCCGGCCUUCCUACGGGCCUAUCCGUCACUGGCUCUGGGUCCUGGGCCUCUACCCAGGCCUGAGUCCAUGUGCUCAGAAAAGGUGUGAUUUCGUCCUUCUGGAGUACUGGUGUUCAUGUGACUGUACUUUGAAAGACCAGGGCAAGAGUCAUCUGUUUUCUAUUAAACUUUGAUGACAUUUGAUACACACAAGACACUGAGAGAGGGGCAGAUAAACCUGGAUGUGCAGAUAAAAUAGAGACCAAAGUAGUACAUCAGGAGAGAUGUGAAGAUAUCCCAGCCUGCCAAUAUUGAGUGAAAGCACUUUGGAAAGUAGUAACUUGGAUAUCAGAAUAAAUAAAUAUUAUGGAUUCUCCCCUGCAAGUUUUACCCAGUAUCCCUGAAAGAAAAGGCUUCCUCUCACCUGUGUUGACUGUACAUGUGGCUGUGCUCUCUGGCUUCAGAAUUGCUUCUAUAGGAAGAAAUUAAUCAUCGAUUAUUCUACUAAAAUAGAUGAGAAAAUGAAUGGGUGUGAAUCGAAAGAACCAUCCUGCCUUAACAAUUUUGGCACAGGCUCGCUGAGAGACUGAGAAUAACACAGAGGACUGUUUCCUAUAAGAAAGACACAUGUUUCCAGAUUGAGAUUCCAGGGAGGGCAUCCAGUUCCAAGGAUAACAGUGAUGGGGCCGAAUUUGAGACUGGAGUUGCUAUGGAAACAUCCCAGGCAGGUUGGCUAGCAUGGGGAGCAAGGACUGCUGUACACAAGCACCUCUGAAGACUGUCAGGAGUUUUCUAUGAAAAUUGGACUUCCUGCAUUUGUGUAGGUGAGAGAUUGGAAACAUUGAGGUUCAGCUAUCCGUAUCAAAGAACCGAAUUUUCUCUCACUGGCUGGCAUGAUUUCUGUUAGAAUCUCCAGGACUAAAAGAAUGAGUAGACUGCCUUGAAUGUAAUGAGCCCCCCACUAUGUAAUACUACUCGUGAGUAGUAUUUAAGGAGAGACCAGAUGGCUUUAUGUCUGUGUAUGUUCAUAUUCCAGUAGAAAGCCUGCAUAUGUGUAUGUGUUGCAAAUUGUAAAACAAGUUCUGCAAUAUAAAUGCUAUUAUCACUA